AGCAGCCGCGGUAAUUCCAGCUCCAAUAGCGUAUAUUAAAGUUGUUGCAGUUAAAAAGCUCGUAGUUGAAUUUCGGGAUCAAAUUGUCGGUCGUGCCUCGGUACGCACUGGUAUUAUUGGUUCCUACCUUCUGAAGAACCGCGAUGUCAUUAAUUUGGCGUCGUGGGGAAUCAGGACUGUUACUUUGAAAAAAUUUAGAGUGUUUAAAGCAGGCUUACGCUUGAAUACAUUAGCAUGGAAUAAUGAAAUAGGACGUUUGAUUCUAUUUUGUUGGUUCCUAGGAUUGACGUAAUGAUUAAUAGGGAUAGUUGGGGGCAUUAGUAUUCAAUUGUCAGAGGUGAAAUUCUUGGAUUUAUUGAAGACUAACUACUGCGAAAGCAUUUGCCAAGGAUGUUUUCAUUAAUCAAGAACGAAAGUUAGGGGAUCGAAGACGAUCAGAUACCGUCGUAGUCUUAACCAUAAACUAUGCCGACUAGGGAUCGGAUGAUGUUAAUUUUUUAGUGACUCAUUUCGGCGCCUU
rnacentral:rRNA from 1 species